AAAAAAGCAGGGGCUUGUUGCCUUUGUGAACAGGCCUCUCGUAAACUUCAGGGAAAUUGUUUACAUCGUUAUUGGGUGAACCUCUGUGUUAUGCUUUUGGUAACUGAAGGUUCAGUAAAUGAUGGUACAUGA